rnacentral:rRNA from 1 species
GGUAAUACGGAGGGUGCAAGCGUUAUCCGGAAUCAUUGGGUUUAAAGGGUCCGCAGGCGGUCAAUUAAGUCAGAGGUGAAAUCCCAUAGCUUAACUAUGGAACUGCCUUUGAUACUGGUUGACUUGAGUUAUACGGAAGUAGAUAGAAUGUGUAGUGUAGCGGUGAAAUGCAUAGAUAUUACACAGAAUACCGAUUGCGAAGGCAGUCUACUACGUAUAUACUGACGCUCAUGGACGAAAGCGUGGGGAGCGAACGGGAUUAGAUACCCCGGUAGUCCACGCCGUAAACGAUGGACACUAGUUGUUGGGAUUUAUCUCAGUGACUAAGCGAAAGUGAUAAGUGUCCCACCUGGGGAGUACGGUCGCAAGAUUGAAACUCAAAGGAAUUGACGG